rnacentral:tRNA from 1 species
UUCCAAGAAGUGAUGAACAGGUGUUCGAGUCGAUCAAAGGAAAGCUCAAGCGAGCUCAACUGU